rnacentral:lncRNA from 1 species
AAGAUGAUGCUAUAAAAAUUCAGUAAUCUUAUUUUUAGUUGAUAACUCAACCGUCCAAUGUCAAUCCAACCACCAGGAUUGGGCGAAGACUCGAAGGAUACCAAAGAUUAAAGGAUUAUAUUUUCCUAGGGUAAUAAUUUUCAAGCUUCAUCCUUCCUUGUAUGGCUUCAUGUUCCUCUUGCAAUUCGCUUGCCACCUAAGUCUCCCACCGAUAGC